GCGCAAUGGGCGGAAGCCUGACGCAGCGACGCCGCGUGGGGGAUGACGGCCUUCGGGUUGUAAACCUCUUUCGCCAGGGACGAAGCUUUUGUGACGGUACCUGGAGAAGAAGCACCGGCCAACUACGUGCCAGCAGCCGCGGUAACACGUAGGGUGCGAGCGUUGUCCGGAAUUAUUGGGCGUAAAGAGCUCGUAGGCGGUGUGUCGCGUCGGCCGUGAAAACUUGGGGCUUAACUCUGAGCGUGCGGUCGAUACGGGCAUCACUUGAGUUCGGCAGGGGAGACUGGAAUUCCUGGUGUAGCGGUGAAAUGCGCAGAUAUCAGGAGGAACACCGGUGGCGAAGGCGGGUCUCUGGGCCGAUACUGACGCUGAGGAGCGAAAGCGUGGGGAGCGAACAGGAUUAGAUACCCUGGUAGUCCACGCCGUAAACGUUGGGCGCUAGGUGUGGGGACCAUUCCACGGUUUCUGUGCCGCAGCUAACGCAUUAAGCGCCCCGCCUGGGGAGUACGGCUGCAAGGCU
rnacentral:rRNA from 1 species